CCUUGUAAAUUUUUAAGCUAUGAGAACAAAAGUAUUGGGACGUAACUCUUAUUUACUGAACUGGAAACAAAUCACAAUAUCAGUUGAUAAUAUUACAGGCAAAUACAAUAUUUCAUAUGAAAAGGCUCAUGAAUUCAACAAUCCAACUCUAAAGAUUAUGGACAAGAAUGUGAAUGCAACUUGGGCCCAUGUGAAAGACUUCACAAAGCAUUCAACUCCUAAUGUCCAUUGUUGGCUUGUGCCGUUCGAUGAUGUGAUGAACAGGAAAAUUUCUGAUUUCAUUGUUACUCAGAUAUAGAGUAUAAAAAAAUACAAAGCAAAAAAAGUGUCAUCUGAUAUAUUUUGAUGGUUCAUUUAUUCUUUCAAGUAAAUGCUUAAGUGGUUGAAUCACCAAAUUUAAUAAAGCACAUUACAAGUGA